GUUUGCGGCGGGCCUAACACAUGCAAGUCGAACGGGCUAGCAAUAGUCAGUGGCGCACGGGUGCGUAACACGUGGGUAAUCAACCCUUCAGCUCGGGAUAACGCCUUGAAAGGGGCGCUAAUACCGGAUACGACGCGAGGAGCUUCGGCUGCUUGCGGGAAAGAUUCGCAAGGAUCUCUGAAGGACGAGCCUGCGGCCCAUCAGCUAGUUGGUGAGGUAAGAGCUCACCAAGGCGAAGACGGGUAGCUGGUCUGAGAGGAUGAUCAGCCACACUGGAACUGAGACACGGUCCAGACUCCUACGGGAGGCAGCAGUGGGGAAUAUUGCGCAAUGGGCGAAAGCCUGACGCAGCCACGCCGCGUGAGCGAUGAAGGCCUCGGUCGUAAGACUCUGUGGGAGGAGAA
rnacentral:rRNA from 1 species